rnacentral:rRNA from 1 species
AGCGCAGGCGGGAAGACAAGUUGGAAGUGAAAUCCAUGGGCUCAACCCACGAACUGCUUUCAAAACUGUUUUUCUUGAGUAGUGCAGAGGUAGGCGGAAUUCCCGGUGUAGCGGUGAAAUGCGUAGAUAUCAGGAGGAAUACCGGAGGCGAAGGCGGCCUGCUGGACAAAUACUGACGCUGAGGCGCGAAAGCGUGGGGAGCAAACA